AACGAACGCUGGCGGCAGGCUUAACACAUGCAAGUCGAACGCGUGUAGCAAUACACGAGUGGCGCACGGGUGAGUAACGCGUGGAUAUCUGCCUUUUGGCUCGGAAUAACCCCGGGAAACUGGGGCUAAUACCGGAUGGUUCCUUCGGGAUAAAGAUUUAUCGCCAAAAGAUGAGUCCGCGUACGAUUAGCUAGUUGGUGAGGUAAUGGCUCACCAAGGCGACGAUCGUUAGCUGGUCUGAGAGGACGAUCAGCCACACUGGGACUGAGACACGGCCCAGACUCCUACGGGAGGCAGCAGUGGGGAAUAUUGGACAAUGGGGGCAACCCUGAUCCAGCCAUGCCGCGUGAGUGAUGAAGGCCUUCGGGUUGUAAAGCUCUUUUGGCGGGGACGAUGAUGACGGUACCCGCAGAAUAAGCCCCGGCUAACUUCGUGCCAGCAGCCGCGGUAACAC
rnacentral:rRNA from 1 species